UACAGAGGUCUCGAGCGUUAGGCGGAAUCACUGGGCUUAAAGCGUGUGUAGGCGGGUCGUUAAGUACCUUGUGAAAUCCCAUGGCUCAACCAUGGAACUGCUGGGUAUACUGGCGAUCUUGUGCAACCUAGGGGCGAGCGGAACAGAUGGUGGAGCGGUGAAAUGCGUAGAGAUCCGGAAGAACACCGGUGGCGAAGGCGGUCAACUGGCCCUCGACUGACGCUGAGGCACGAAAGCGUGGGGAGCAAACAGG
rnacentral:rRNA from 1 species